rnacentral:miRNA from 1 species
AGCUACAUCUGAUUACUGGGUCU